CCAGCUCCAAUAGCGUAUACUAAAGUUGUUGCAGUUAAAAAGCUCGUAGUUGGAUUUCUGGAGUACAAAGUGAUUGUGUUCGCCUCGCGAGAGGUUUGUAAUGCUACUUGUCUCCUUUUUUGGGAUCUCAGUGUGGGGGUGGCCUUAACUGGUCGUCUCCAUGUCUGCCCAUCAUUUACUGUGAGCAAAAUAGAGUGUUCAAAGCAGGCUUAAGCCGUUGAAUACAUUAGCAUGGAAUAAUAAGAUAAGACCUUGGUCUAAUUUUGUUGGUUUGCAGUCCGAGGUAAUGAUUAAUAGGGACAGUUGGGGGUAUUCGUAUUCAAGUGUCAGAGGUGAAAUUCUUGGAUUUCUGGAAGACGAACUACUGCGAAAGCAUUUACCAAGGAUGUUUUCA
rnacentral:rRNA from 1 species